rnacentral:rRNA from 1 species
GACGAACGCUGGCGGCGUGCUUAACACAUGCAAGUCGAGCGGUAAGGCCCUUUCGGGGGUACACGAGCGGCGAACGGGUGAGUAACACGUGGGUGACCUGCCCUUAGCUCUGGGAUAAGCCUGGGAAACUGGGUCUAAUACCGGAUAUGACUCCAUAACGCAUGUUGUGGGGUGGAAAGCCUUGUGCGGCUAGGGAUGGGCCCGCGGCCUAUCAGCUUGUUGGUGGGGUGAUGGCCUACCAAGGCGACGACGGGUAGCCGGCCUGAGAGGCGACCGGCCACACUGGGACUGAGACACGGCCCAGACUCCCACGGGAGGCAGCAGUGGGGAAUCUUGCGCAAUGGGCGAAAGCCUGACGCAGCGACGCCGCGUGGGGA